CUGUGGCCUCCCCGUUUGUUUACAGGGACAUCAGACCAGCUGGACUCAGUUGGCUUUCACCACUGGGAUGGCUUCUGCAACCCUCGACACCAGCCCAGGAGCUGCAGCACAGCUCAUAGUGGGGCUGGCCAGGGACUCUCCUCAACAUCUGAGAACAUUGUUCUCCAAAGAGUAUGGGUUUCUGGAAAACACACUUAUCUGUUUCUUCUGCUGUCCUCCCAUAAAGGCAACUUCCCACCCACAGUUGAAUUCCUUCAGCUCUUCUGAAACUUCUUUAGUCUCUUGGGGCCCAGGAGGUCAGAGGGGUGUAAAAGAUGUCUUGCCUUCUGCCUAAGCUCCCCUAUCCACCUCUGAGUUCAGUGGAGAGCAAGCAAAAGUGUAAGGUCAUGUGAUAUCAACGUCCUCCCCACAUACUCUUCAUUCCCUGGGAGAAUAACUACUGGAGAAAAAAAAAAAUGGUGCCUCUUUCAAGAACCGAGUCAUUGUGACGACCUCUGGGCCACGUGGUCAGGAGCUGUCGAUGGUGUCCGGCCAACAGUUAGCAAGAAAGCAGAGACCCCAGACCCCUUAUAACCACAAACAGCUGAAUUCUACCAUCCACUUAUUGAACUUGAGAGACUACCAUAAGCUACAAAUGAGAUCCGUGGCAUGACUAAUACCUGACUGCACCUUCGGGGGACCCUGAGCAGAGGAUCCAGCUAAGCCAUCCAGACUGCUGGUUGGCAGAAAGGACAUUAGAAGAUAUGGACUAUUAUUAUUCCUGUUUCUCAGAUGAGAAAAACCUAGGUACAAAGAAGCUGAGUUCCUUCCCAUGGUCACACAGCAAAGAAGUGAAGGCCACAUUCAAAUGGAGUUUUAAAUAUCCAUAUCAAUCUGAAGGGCACAAUGCACUUUAUCUUUAAAUAGGCCAUGCUAUCCUGUUCCACAAAACAGAGUUUUGGACUUUAGGCUACAAGAAAGCUGAAAUAUGAGAGGACACAUCUCAUCCCCUAUGAUGGAAGAGGCAGGAGGGAGGACGGAGCGCAGGUGGGAAUGUUGAAAUGGGAAUAUUCCAGAGCUGCUGGAGUUCAGAGGUGCUUGAGGAACUCGGGAACUUGCAUUCCUCACAGUGAAGGAUGGAAGCCCUUUGGCCUUGCCCUCCCGCCCAGCUGAUGGGAUGAGAGGCAGAUGCAGGCAGCUGUCAGGAGAGCAAAGGGAAGGGAGAUACUGGGUCCGGAAACCCUGCUGCUGCUGCGACAAGUUCUCCGGGUCCAGGCUGUGAUUUCCACAAUCUGCAUCCAAACCACAGAGUGAAGCCGAAAUUGUGUGAAUGAUCGGGAGUGUUUGCAGAGUUCAACCACAGUGUUAUCACGUUUUAUCCAAAUCUCCUAGUCCAAAAAAGAAUACCACGCCCUGUUUUUAUCUCAGUGCGGAGUGUUUCAUUUUGAUCAAAAUUGCAGUUGCGUAAUUGACAGAUGAGAGUGAGUGCUUGCAGAUGUGAAGACUGGGGUGAAAUAACACAGCAACAACACCCGCAA
rnacentral:lncRNA from 1 species